UACAGAGGGUGCAAGCGUUGUUCGGAAUUACUGGGCGUAAAGCGCGUGUAGGCGGCGGCGUUAGUCGGAUGUGAAAUCCCUCAGCUCAACUGAGGAAGUGCAUUCGAUACUGCGUCGCUUGAAUGUCGGAGGGGAUGGCGGAAUUCCCGGUGUAGAGGUGAAAUUCGUAGAUAUCGGGAGGAACACCUGUGGCGAAGGCGGCCAUCUGGACGACAAUUGACGCUGAGACGCGAAAGCGUGGGUAGCAAACAGG
rnacentral:rRNA from 1 species